GCUGUGGUGUAGCUCAAUUGGUAGAGCAUCGCACGCAAAAUGCGAAGGUUGUGGGUUCGGUUCCCACCUGCGGCA